UUACCUGGGCUUGAAUGUAUAAAGACGUUUCGCGAAAGCGGAAUUCCCUUCGUGGCUUUUUACAAGGUGCUGCAUGGUUGUCGUCAGCUCGUGCCGUGAGGUGUCGGGUUAAGUCCCAUAACGAGCGCAACCCUUAUCGUUAGUUGCCAGCGGGUCAUGCCGGGGACUCUAACGAAACUGCCAGUGUAAACCGUGAGGAAGGUGGGGAUGACGUCAAAUCAGCACGGCCCUUAUGUCCAGGGCUACACACGUGUUACAAUGGCCGGUACAGAGGGCAGCUACCACGCGAGUGGAUGCAAAUCUCGAAAGCCGGUCUCAGUUCGGAUUGAAGUCUGCAACUCGACUUCAUGAAGCUGGAUUCGCUAGUAAUCGCGCAUCAGCCAUGGCGCGGUGAAUACGUUCCCGGGCCUUGUACACACCGCCCGUCAAGCCAUGGAAGCUGGGGGUACCUGAAGUCUGUAACCGCAAGGAGCGGCCUAGGGUAAAACUAGUGACUGGGGCGAAGUCGUAACAAGGUAGCC
rnacentral:rRNA from 1 species